ACAUGCGCGAAAGAGAAUUGAUCUUCCAAUCAAUUUUCGGCCCUAAUGCUCGCAAUUGCGUAGUAAAUGCAGGGUUUUUAUUAAAAAAUAAAGUUUCACACGGAAAUGCGAAGUGUUUGUGAAUAAAAAUGGAAGGAGAUAAUACGAUGCCAAUGAUUGUGGAAAUAGAAAGUUGGAGCGCAUAAGAGCUGCUGCUGCGAAUUGUGCAAAAGUAGUAGUCGCAGUAGAGCUGCGUACGUCGAAUUGUGCAAUUUUUAUUCUAUUUCUUUCCCUAAACCAUGCCUACAAUUUAGAAAAGUAGAAAUUAAUAAUGCGAGUAUCAAAUUCCCCUUAAAACGCGUGAAGCGUGCAGGAAAUGCAAUAAAUGGGCGAAGUUGUGUGGACGUAAAGAUUCCAAGUUUAAAUCAAUCAGGAACGUUACAAAAGAUACAUAUAUUUGUUCUUUAAACUUCUAUGGAGAAUCUGGACCUACAGAAGAGCAUCUAGCCCAGAUGGAAUGUCAGCCGAAAACUAUAAAAAGACAGUAAAAAAAGGCUAGAAGGAGCUUGGAACAAAAGUACCAGCAUUUCUCAUUGAAGUCUGAGGAAUUUACUUCAAGUACAGGGAGCAGUUGUUUCUCUGGAGAAAGAAGAGCGGAGAAACAAAUUCAACUGAUGUCGAAUUCAAUAAAGUCGAAACAUUCUGUGAUCUUGAGCCAACUUUUUCUUCUGAGAUACACAGAAUGGACAUGGAAUCUCUCUUUAUCUGACUUUUGUCUCCCGUUCUAUUUCUAAUGUAAAUGAAUGGAGGAAUAAAACAAUCUUUCGUAA